rnacentral:rRNA from 1 species
AAAGAUGAUCAGGUUGAUAGGUCCGAGGUGGAAGUGCGGCGACGUAUGGAGCUGACGGAUACUAAUCGAUCGAGGACUUAACCAA